rnacentral:rRNA from 1 species
UACGUAGGGGGCGAGCGUUGUCCGGAUUUAUUGGGCGUAAAGGGCGCGUAGGCGGCCACGCACGUCCGUUGUGAAAUCGCCCGGCUCAACUGGGCGGGUCAGCGGAUACGGUGUGGCUAGAGCAAGCUAGGGGGCAAUGGAAUUCCCGGUGUAGUGGUGGAAUGCGUAGAUAUCGGGAGGAACACCAGUGGCGAAGGCGGUUGCCUGGAGCUUUGCUGACGCUGAUGCGCGAAAGCGUGGGGAGCGAGUCCGG